rnacentral:rRNA from 1 species
ACAUUCCGCGUGUGCGAUGAAGGCCUUCGGGUUGUAAAGCACUUUUGGCAGGAAAGAAAUUGCGCAAACGAAUACUUCGCGUGGAUGACGGUACCUGCAGAAUAAGCACCGGCUAACUACGUGCCAGCAGCCGCGGUAAUACGUAGGGUGCAAGCGUUAAUCGGAAUUACUGGGCGUAAAGCGUGCGCAGGCGGUUCGGAAAGAGAGGUGUGAAAUCCCAGGGCUUAACCUUGGAACUGCACUUUUAACUCCCGAGCUAGAGUAUGUCAGAGGGGGGUGGAAUUCCGCGUGUAGCAGUGAAAUGCGUAGAUAUGCGGAGGAACACCGAUGGCGAAGGCAGACCCCUGGGAUGAUACUGACGCUCAUGCACGAAAGCGUGGGGAGCAAACAGGAUUAGAUACCCUGGUCAUCCAAGCCCUAAACGAUGUCAACUAGCUGUUGGGGCCUUCGGGCCCUUAGUAGCGCAGUAAC